UUCUCCACGUGACCCGGCAUGGAGCACACCACGUGACCCAAGCUUCACCUGAGUGAGCAUCAUAACACCUCGUGCCGUUAAGCUGAUGAUCACACGGCUUGCACUCGUGCCUGGAGUGAGUGGCAUCUGCAGGGCAGGUCAAGGCAAGCAUCCCUGUGCCCCAGCCUUGGCCAGGGGACGUCUCUGGACCUCCAGAAGGGCAUUCUUCCAUUGGGCAUUACCAGUGGGCUUGCCUGGCUUUGGACCCAUCUCUGUUGUGCCAUGGAUGGACCAGUUGCAAGUUUGGAGCCGUGGCGCCCUGAGCAAUGUUAAGUCAAGGGAAUGCAAAAAAAUGUGAUUUUUAAGGCAGGGCUGCAGAAACGCCUUGAGCGCUCCACUGUGUUGUGCUUAGGAUGUGAAAGUAGGUAACUGCUGGAGCCCAACGGUCCUUACAUAUGUCCAUCAAACGGAAUUGGAGACUUUUUUUAACGGUGGCUUUCCAUUCCAUUUAGUGAUCCCUCAAGAGGGCUGGAUUACAGAUUUUACAAGCCCUGAAAAAUGCUCAGAGGCAGGAGCCUACUCCAAUAUGCAUUUAAUUAGUGUAAUAAAAUGUUUAAUAGUUAAAGCUGAGUAGAAUUAACUUAGCGUAUUUCUUGUCUCACUUUUUAAUCAUCUGAGCUUGGAAGGAAGCUGAAACUUUCUCCAGUUUUUAAGCAAUCGGGUCACAGGCCCUGAACACUGCUAGUUGUGACCAAUGGAUAAUGCAGAGAUGAAGAGGAUUCUGAAGCAAUUUGACCAAUGUUUUUGUUCAUGUUACAUAUUUCCAGAUAUUUUCCCCUAUCUUUUCCCCUUACUUUUAAUGUUACAUGAUGUUGUUAAUGUUAAUUACGUAUGUAUAAUUUGAUUGCAAGAUUAAAAUUAUUACAUUCAAAAGAA